UGACUGCGUACCUUUUGUAUAAUGGGUCAGCGACUUAUAUUCUGUAGCAAGGUUAACCGAAUAGGGGAGCCGGAGGGAAACCGAGUCUUAAUUGGGCGUUAAGUUGCAGGGUAUAGACCCGAAACCCGGUGAUCUAGCCAUGGGCAGGUUGAAGGUUGGGUAACACUAACUGGAGGACCGAACCGACUAAUGUUGAAAAAUUAGCGGAUGACCUGUGGCUGGGGGUGAAAGGCCAAUCAAACCGGGAGAUAGCUGGUUCUCCCCGAAAGCUAUUUAGGUAGCGCCUCGUGAAUUCAUCUCCGGGGGUAGAGCACUGUUUCGGCUAGGGGGCCAUCCCGGCUUACCAACCCGAUGCAAACUGCGAAUACCGGAGAAUGUUAUCACGGGAGACACACGGCGGGUGCUAACGUCCGUCGUGAAGAGGGAAACAACCCAGACCGCCAGCUAAGGUCCCAAAGUCAUGGUUAAGUGGGAAACGAUGUGGGAAGGCCCAGACAGCCAGGAUGUUGGCUUAGAAGCAGCCAUCAUUUAAAGAAAGCGUAAUAGCUCACUGGUCGAGUCGGCCUGCGCGGAAGAUGUAACGGGGCUAAACCAUGCACCGAAGCUGCGGCAGCGACACUCAGGUGUUGUUGGGUAGGGGAGCGUUCUGUAAGCCUGCGAAGGUGGCCUGUGAGGGUUGCUGGAGGUAUCAGAAGUGCGAAUGCUGACAUAAGUAACGAUAAAGCGGGUGAAAAGCCCGCUCGCCGGAAGACCAAGGGUUCCUGUCCAACGUUAAUCGGGGCAGGGUGAGUCGACCCCUAAGGCGAGGCCGAAAGGCGUAGUCGAUGGGAAACGGGUUAAUAUUCCCGUACUUGGUGUUACUGCGAAGGGGGGACGGAGAAGGCUAUGUUGGCCGGGCGACGGUUGUCCCGGUUUAAGCGUGUAGGUGUGUGUUCCAGGUAAAUCCGGCACUUUAAUCACUGAGGCGUGACGACGAGGCACUACGGUGCUGAAGCAACAAAUGCCCUGCUUCCAGGAAAAGCCUCUAAGCAUCAGGUAACAUCAAAUCGUACCCCAAACCGACACAGGUGGUCAGGUAGAGAAUACCAAGGCGCUUGAGAGAACUCGGGUGAAGGAACUAGGCAAAAUGGUGCCGUAACUUCGGGAGAAGGCACGCUGACAUGUAGGUGAAGUGAUUUACUCAUGGAGCUGAAGUCAGUCGAAGAUACCAGCUGGCUGCAACUGUUUAUUAAAAACACAGCACUGUGCAAACACGAAAGUGGACGUAUACGGUGUGACGCCUGCCCGGUGCCGGAAGGUUAAUUGAUGGGGUCAGCGCAAGCGAAGCUCCUGAUCGAAGCCCCGGUAAACGGCGGCCGUAACUAUAACGGUCCUAAGGUAGCGAAAUUCCUUGUCGGGUAAGUUCCGACCUGCACGAAUGGCGUAAUGAUGGCCAGGCUGUCUCCACCCGAGACUCAGUGAAAUUGAACUCGCUGUGAAGAUGCAGUGUACCCGCGGCAAGACGGAAAGACCCCGUGAACCUUUACUAUAGCUUGACACUGAACAUUGAGCCUUGAUGUGUAGGAUAGGUGGGAGGCUUUGAAGUGUGGACGCCAGUCUGCAUGGAGCCGACCUUGAAAUACCACCCUUUAAUGUUUGAUGUUCUAACGUGGACCCGUGAUCCGGGUUGCGGACAGUGUCUGGUGGGUAGUUUGACUGGGGCGGUCUCCUCCUAAAGAGUAACGGAGGAGCACGAAGGUUGGCUAAUCCUGGUCGGACAUCAGGAGGUUAGUGCAAUGGCAUAAGCCAGCUUGACUGCGAGCGUGACGGCGCGAGCAGGUGCGAAAGCAGGUCAUAGUGAUCCGGUGGUUCUGAAUGGAAGGGCCAUCGCUCAACGGAUAAAAGGUACUCCGGGGAUAACAGGCUGAUACCGCCCAAGAGUUCAUAUCGACGGCGGUGUUUGGCACCUCGAUGUCGGCUCAUCACAUCCUGGGGCUGAAGUAGGUCCCAAGGGUAUGGCUGUUCGCCAUUUAAAGUGGUACGCGAGCUGGGUUUAGAACGUCGUGAGACAGUUCGGUCCCUAUCUGCCGUGGGCGCUGGAGAACUGAGGGGGGCUGCUCCUAGUACGAGAGGACCGGAGUGGACGCAUCACUGGUGUUCGGGUUGUCAUGCCAAUGGCACUGCCCGGUAGCUAAAUGCGGAAGAGAUAAGUGCUGAAAGCAUCUAAGCACGAAACUUGCCCCGAGAUGAGUUCU
rnacentral:rRNA from 1 species